GUGCUCGCUUUGGCAGCACAUGUACUAAAACUGGAAUGAGACAGAGAAGAUUAGCACAGCCUUGUGUAAGGAUGAUUUGCAAAUUCACGAACUGCUUCAUACUUUC